rnacentral:lncRNA from 1 species
UUCCAUUGCAAAUUGAUUGCGGUUCACAAUUGAGAAAGUUAAAGCCUUAAUCCAAGUAGUGCCACAUUUUGGUGAACUUGAGACAUAAAUCUAUCAAGUGCAUGGAAAUUUUGGAAAGAAAUCAAGCUUAUUAAAACAAUAGAUGACACCUCCUAUGAUAAAAUAAAUAUGAAACCACAGUUGUUUCUUUCAUUUGCACCAUUUCUUGGAUUAUCCUCCCAUCACCUUUACUUCAUCAUCUUGUCGUUUUGAAACAACUAAGUCUUUAGUUUCUAAAUCCAUGAUUAAACUUGCAGCAAUGAGAGAGAGUAGAAAUGAAUAUGAAAACUUCUACAUAGUUCUCUUUUUGCUUAUAUUAUUAUUUGAGGGUGGCUUCCUUGUUUUAGGAUAAGAAUAAAUUAUAGAUUUUAAAAGUCAUUUAUGUUGAAUUUAUAAAUCAUUUAUCAAAAUAAUUAUCGCUAAUAAAAUUUAAAUCUAAAUUUUAUAAAAAAAUAUUUGAAUUUUACCAACUUAAUCAAUCUGUUAGCUCUAAAGUGAUUCUUUAAUAAAUUUAUAUAAGUUGUUCAUCUAGUCCUAUUCAUUUUUAAUUACAUGUGAAUUACUUUAGAUAAUCAAAAACAUUUUUUUUAAUUUUGGGUAAUACUAUAUUCUUAUUUAUGAUUUUUAAAUUUUAAUUUAUAACCCCUUAUUUUUAUUAUAUUAAUUUUUUUCUAAGCAAAAGAAAAAUUAACGAAAUUGUAUGAUCAAUCUGAUAUCUAUUGUUUAUCAUUAGAACAGGAAAAAAAUCUCAAUAAUUACACCGUACUUCCUCUUUAAUUUGAAUUAAAAUUAUAAAUGUUUUUUUUAUUAAUAAUUUUGGUGGUUAUAGGACAACAUCACAAUAAAGAGGGACAGAUCCAGCAUUAAUAUGGAAAGAGAAAUUCUUAAAUACAUUGAGAGUGAAAUUUUUUUAAUUUUAUAUGUAAAAAUAAGAUGAUAAUAUAUAUUUUUUAUACAUUUAAAAAAUAAAAUAUUUGUUAUUAUCAUAAUUUUAUAUGUAAAAUUAAAAAAUUUUCACUGUUAAUAUAUUUGAUAAUUUUUUAUAUAUAAAAGAUUAAAUUAUGCAAUUAAUCGUUGUACUUAUAUAAAAUUUUAACUUUAAUUUUUAUAAAUUAAUUUAGAAAGAUUAAAUUCUCAUAUUAAUUUAAUUUAAUAAUAUUAAUCUAAUUAAUAAUGAUGUUACUUAAUUCCUAUUAAAUUAUCUGACGUAGUUACAGACCAUGUUGAUAUGAAUUGACUUUAAUCAAAUGGCAUUAAUUUACUGACAAGACAAGAAGAAUUAAUGAAAUUAAUUGUUAAAUUAUAUAAAUAAUCUCAAUAUUUAUACGAAAUUUAAAAUUUAAUCCUCACACAAAAUUUGAAAUUUAAUAUCUUUAAUAUAAAAAAAUAUUUUGAAUUAUUUUAGUUUUUUAAAAAUAUUAAAUUUUAAAAUAUUUUAAUCCUUUAAUAUAUUAGUUUUUAUUAUAUAUAAUUAAUUAUUAAUAAUAUCAUAUUAAUAAUAUUAUUAUCGUUUAUAUUAAUCAAUUAUAUUAUUAAUCAUUUAAAUUAAUAUAUCAAAGUUAAUAUUAUUUUAAUCAGCAUAAAUAUAUUAUGUAACAAAAUUUAUAAUGAACCAAACUAUUAAAUUGAAUAGCAUUUCUAAUAAAUUCAAAAUAGACUAUGAAUAAAAUGAUUAUUUCGUCCAACCAAGUAAAAUAAAAGAUUCAAACUUAAAUUUUUACAAAAAAUGAGCUUUAUCUAUUUGAAAAACGAACCUUAAAUCUUAACAAAAUGAAAGGAGGAAACAGUUUAUUUGAUCAAUCGAAACAUCAAUAUCAUGAAUUAUAAUGAAAACUUUUAAUAUUUUAGGUCUUCACAAAAAAAUGACUUAAAUAAUUGUGCUAAAUUAAAUAAUAAGAUUAAUUUUAAAACCAAUACAUAUUAAGUUUAAUAAAUUACUUUAAUAUAUUUAGACUCUUGAACCUAUAUUUGAUUAUAAAAAAUCAUUUAAAUAGGAGUUUAAUUUAAAGGAAUAGAAACAUUGCUUUUAUGGAUAAUUUGAUCAUUAUGGGAUAUAAUUCUAAUUCUAAAAAAAAAAAUUAAUAGUUUUACUAAAAUUAGAUAAUAACAGAUUGGUAUCAUAUAUUGAUAAAUUUGUGAUAGAUUUUUAAUAGAUUGGUUUAAGAAUUUUUUUAUACAGCCAUGAUAUAUUACAAUUGUGACAGAAAAAAAAGAUAAAAUUAGUUACAGAUUUAUAUUUUAUGACAGAAUAUAACAAGAAAUAGUGACAAAAUAGUAAUAGUAUUUUACAUAGAUGACAAAAAAAUAUGAAAAAUUUAAUGACAAUAUAUGAAAAUUUUAACUAAAUAUUGUGAUAGAUUUUUUAAUAUUAUGAUAAAAUAUUAUGAGAGAAUAUUAUAGUAAUUUUUUAAAAUUCAAUGUUUUAAAAAAUUAGAUUAUUUCUAAAAAUUUAAAAUAUUUUUUGUAUUAGAAAUUAAAUUUCAAAUUUCAUAUGAGUACAUGGACUAAAUUUUAAAUUUCAUACAAGAACAAAUUUUAAAUUUUAAAUUUCGUAUAAGUACAAAGAUUAUUUGUAUAAUUUAGCAACUAGUUUCAUUAAUCUCAAUUACUACAUUAACAAAUCAAUGUCAUGUUAUUAAAAUCAACAUUACGUCAACAUAACCAAUAGCCACGUUAACUAAUUUAACGGAAAUCAUGUAACAAUGUUAUCAAUUAAAUCAACAUUAUUAAAUUAAAUUAAUAUGAGACUCUAAUUUUUACAAAUUAUUGUUUAAAAACUAAAAUUUAAAUUUUAUAUAAAUAUAAAAACUAAUUACAUGAUUUGACUUGUGUAAAAUAAUUAGACAAAUAAAGGCUCGUUAAGAUAAAACAUAGGCAUAGGUUGCUUCUCAAGGACUUUCGAUGGCUCGAAUGUAUGUUAUACUAGUCCAUAAAAAUUUUAGGUUCAUAUAUAUAUCAAACUAGUCAAAUAAUUCUAUUUUGUUUGUUACGUGGACAUUUAAAUUUUGAGGUAAACCUAUUUUUGCAACAUGAAUCUUCAUACAAGGUUGAGAUAGUAGAAUUUAUCAAAUUAUAAUAAUGAAAUAGAUGAUUUAAAAUAUUUUUAAAAAAUAAUAAAUUUAAAAAUUAAUUUUUAAAAGUUAUAAAUGAAAAGAUAGGGUAUAUACGCUAUUUGUAAACAUCGAAUUUUGUUCGGAUCUAUUGAUGUUUUAAAUCACAUUUUUUGUUUUUGUUUCUUGAUAUUAAACUAAUAAUAAUAGAAAAAAUAUUGAUAAUAAAUUAUUAAUAUUAAUUUAAUAUUAAAAAUACAAAAAAAGAAAAAAAAAGUACCAGAAAGUAGGGGGCUGAUGCCUAGCACCAGCCACCCUACAGCCCCCUACAACCUCCCGACCAGCCUUCUACCACCAUCCUACUGCCACCUUAUAGCCUACCUUAGCCAUAUCUGUAGCCACCCAGAUCCCUAUAUACUUAAAGCCCCAGCUUCUUUCCUUUUCAAUCUCUAGGAUACAUCUUUUAUAAUAAAAAGAACCUAAGCACCCCCACCUAGAAACCCCAGCUCGACCUUGCCUCGAUCCCCAACCUCCACACAGCUACCUUUACCAAAUAUCCCACAAAACCCUUACCCACCAAAAAAUAAAACAACACAGUCCUCGUUGAUUAAGCGAUGAUCCAACAACACCAAGCUACCUGUAAAGAACAACGAAAAUAUAUCAACUUUAGUUUUUAAAAAAAAAAAAAAGAGGAAGGAGAAACGAAGAUAAAAACUUUGAGUCUCAAUCUACUCCGAUUGAGGCUGUUUCCAAUAAAAGAAAGAUCGGAUCCAGAAAAAAUGCAUCGACGAGAGUCUUUUAGUGCGUUUUGUCAUUUUUCAACCACCGACAAUGGCCAUCGAUAGUAACCCAAGUGGAGGCCAACGUGGCAGUCAGGCAUCGGAUUCUAGCUAAACCAAAGAGAAUUUCUUAAGCUGGAGGGAUUUUUUUUCUGAAAGGAGGAUGAAAUGAAUAAAAAUAAAAAUUGACUUUUAUAUAGAAAGCUAGAAGCAAAAUGAUGUCAUUUUGCUUAAGGGGAAAAUCCACGCGUGAACCCGAAUUUGACUCGAGAUCCACGUGUCUGACCCGUCUACUUGCUUUCUUUAUAACCCUAACCUGAUUUAACUAGACCGAGCCGAAUUGUCAGUAAAUCGAUUUGAACCGGUUUGAUCGUUUCUGCUUUGAACCUCUAAACUGAAUCGAACUAAUGUUAACCAGGCCGUUGACCGGUCUAGUUCAUGUAUUUUUUUUAAUUUUCUAAUUUUUUCUAUAUUAUUUUUUUGUUAUUUUGAGUUUUUUUUUAAUAUUUAUACAUGAUAAAUUUUAAAUUUUUGUUAGAAUAAUUAUUUGAUUGUACUUAAUAAUAAUAAAAUAAAAAUAAAGUAGGAUAAUGACUACAAAAAAAUAUAUUAAAAAUGGUUAUAAAAUAAUAAUAAUAUUCUAAAUAAUAAUAAUAAUAAUAAUAAUAAUAGAAUAAUAUUUUUCCUGCCUAAAUGUUAGAGGGAAGAAAAACAUAUUUUUAAAAAUAAUUCUGCUUAGAUGUUGAAAAAUUAUUAUAAAUUUUUUUUAAAAUUAAACAGUAUAAAAAGAUAAUAAAUAAUAAAAUAAUAAUAAAUUAACAAUAAUAGUAAUAAUAAAUUUUCAUUAAAAAAAUAUAUGAAAAAUCAAUUUUUUAAAAUCAUAAAAAUCGAACUUACCAAAAGUCCAUCUAGAUGUUGAAGAUUUUUAGAGAUGUUCGUGUUUUCUUCAAUUAAAAAACCUAAACCCUAAAAUCGAAAACCUAACACCAAAACCCUAAACUCUCUAAACCCCAAAACUAAAUCCUAAAUGCUCCAAACUCAAAACCCUUCAAACCCUGAAAUCAAAACGUUAAACCCUCCCAACCAUAAAACAAAUCCCGAAACUUUCUAAACCCUAAAAUUAAACCUUAAACCCUCCAAGUCCUAAAAUUAAAACCUUAAAAAUCCAAACCAUAAAACAAAUCCCUAAACCCUCUAAAUCCUAAAACUAAACCUUAAACCCUACAAGUCCUAAAAUCAAAACCCUAAAAUUGAAACCCUAAAAUCAAAACCCUAAACUCAAACCAUAAAAUUGAAGUCCUAAAAUCGAAAACCUAAGCCCCAAAAUCUAAAACUCGAAAACCUAACCCAAAAAUCCAAAAUGCCAAACCCUAAAAUCCAAAAAUCUCAACAUUCAAAUCCAAAAAUCCCAAAUUUGGUACACAACUCUGAACCAUCAUCGAAAAAUUGUUCAAACUCUAAAACCCCUAAAACCCUAAAUCUAUUCCAAAACUUUAAGGAUACGUGUGAAAAUGUCACAUGAAAUGAUUUGUUUCUGAAUGUCGCCUAGAUGAUGGAGUAUUUAGGAAACUUUGUUUCAUUAAAUUUUUCAUAUGAAUCAUUAAUUUACAUUAAUAAUGGGAUUAAUAAAUAAAAAGUAUAAUAGUAAAUUGAGGUCUUAAAUAUAAACAAUCGUAUCUAAGCCCUGCCUAGAUAUUGAAGAGUUGAAGUGGUCUUAUUAUACUGAAGAGCCCAACUUUAAAAUUGCAUUUCAUCUUACAUAACAUUCAUUGGCUUACAUACAUUAGCAUGUUAUCAUUGGCAUUCGUUUGCAUCUCAUUGUCCUUAAUUUUUACUUGCUAUCUGAUAAAACCACUAUGUACUUUUUCGCACAAAAAUGUUUUUCAAUUUACUUACUUUUAAAAUUGUGCUAUUAUAUAAAACAAAAAUAACAUUUCAAAGAAAAUAAUUCUUGAUACUCUGCCUACAUGUUAGAGAGUCACCAAUAGUUAUCUCUUGCAAUGAGUGUUAUUUUUAUUUUAAAAGAUAUUGUAUUAAAUUUUAAGUGAAAAGAGUUAUUUUAAAUUCUGCCUAGAUAUUGAAGAAUUUUAACAUAAUUCUUUAACUUAAAGAUUAUCUCGAUACUCCUAAAUAAAAAAUUUUAAUAAAAUUAAUUUUUUUUUCUUUUAAAAUAAUAAAAAUGGAUUAUUAUUAAAUUUUAAAUCAUAACUAUUUUAUCCAACACCGAAAAUAGUGCAUAAUUAAAUGGUACCAAUUUAUGAGUGUUGUAGGGGUGCUAAUCAUUUCCCAUACAUAACCGACUCCCGAACCUAACCUAGUUUUCAUAGACCAAAAUUAUCUUUUUUAUAAACUUUAAACUUAUUUUUAUAGUUUUAUUAAAAAGAUAAACUUUUGGGUGGUAAAUCAUACCAUAAAAAAAAUUGGUGGUGACUCUUACAUUUUUCUUAAUUUUCAAAUUCUUUAUGUCUAAUGGUCUCAAAACCGUUAUGAUAACUUGGUGACUCCACUAGGAAGUUUUGAGAGUCAGGCCAAAAUUUUAAUUAUGUGCUAUUAAUAGUUAUUGGAUUUAAUUGGUUUUAUUCGAUAUUUAAUUUAAUUCCCUUUAUUUUAAUUUUUCAAAAUAUAUAUACAUGCAAGUUAAUAAAUAAAAUAAAUUGUAUGUUAGUUAUUACUUUAUUUUGAUUUUAUGUUUAUGAUUUAUUUAUGUUAUUUUGAUUAAUACAUUACUUUGCACACACUUUGCACAUUCAAUUACAUGCAUGAGCUCUAGACCCAAACUCUUUUCCUUUUAGGAGGAAGUAAAGUAGUUACGCUCUCAUGAGGUGAUAACCUUUCAAUUUGCUAGUGAAACACUUUCACUUAGAUUGAACCAUUUUCGUUAGUAGCCAGUAAUGGGUGAUGAUCAAGGAGCCUUACUAACCUAUAACGGACAAUGAUGUGAGAAAUAGUCUGAGAACCUUUAGACAUAUAAAUCCUAACUCAGCAUAUCAUGAGCCAUAGAAAGCUUGCCUAGGGUAGAGCCCUCCCAACCUUUUUAUAGAAAUAACUUAAAAUUGUAUUAAAUUUUGAAAAAAUGGAUAACAAAAGAAGAGCAUUUUCUUGAAAAAAAUAAAUUUUCUAUUAACAUGUUGUUCAUUUAUUUGGUAAUUGUCCAAAUUUUACAUUUUCAUAAAAUAUUUUUGAAUAAAAUGAUUUUUUUAGCAUUAUCCAACAAGCAAAAAAAAAGUAAAAAAAAAAAGUUUUCAGAAAAAAUUAAAGAUUUUUCUUAAAUUUUUUGUUUAUUAGCCAAAUAAAAAUUAAUUUUCAUGUCCUAAUUAUUUUAUUAUUUUUUUAAAAAAAAAUUUAUAUUUUGUUUCAUCUUUUGCAUUUCAUACAUCAUAAUAAAUAAUACAUGUAUUUCAUCCUAUGUGCAUCAUAAUAAGAUAAUAUAAGCAUUCCAUCCCAUCCGUAUCAAUGGAUAAUCCAUGCAUCUCAUGUUAUGUACAUGUUGAUAAGUGAUAUAUGUCUUUCAUAUGCAUCUUAAUAGAUAAUGUGCAUACUCCAUUUCAUUACAUAUUUAAAGAUAAUGUCAGUUUCAUUAGGUUGGCCUAACACAAGCAUUACAUUCAAUGUAAAAAUAUAAUGUGCACUUGAUAGGUUCAUGCAUUUCAUACAAGUAUGUUGCAUUAGUAAUAGGAAUACAUCUCAUUACUCAUGUGAAUAUGUCAUUGCAUUUCAUGCAUAUGAAUUCAUAAAUAGUACGGUCUUAUGGAACAUAUAUUGCAUUUCAUAUCCCACUAUCCUUGUAACAUAACAUUACAUUCUUUGCACACACAUUCAUGGUCGACAAAAUCUUAUCAUUUGGGUCUUGUACAUAUAAAACUUCAUUGUCUUAAGCAUAUAUGCAUUCUAUGACAUUCAUUAGGCAUCAUCGUCACAUUCAUGAAAUGCUAUAUGUGUCGUAUAGGUUAGAAUGUUUUUGUGGCAUUUAUUCAAUAAGGGUAAUUAAAUAAAAUUUUUGGUCUAAGUCUCAGAAUAAAAUGUCUGUCUUGAUAGAAAUUAGAAUGGCAAAAAUGAGAGAUCAAUUAGAAGUAAAGAUUAGUGCUUUGGGGUUAAAUCAAAAGAAAUUAUGGCUUAAGCUUCGGGAGAUGAAACAAUAGAUUGCUCAAUUGAUAAAAAUGGUUAAAGGUAGUUGUGAAGUUGAGUUUGUUCCUCUUUAAGGAUUAUUAUCAUUUUCGAUUCCAUCAAAUCAAGAUCAACUAGCUCCUAUUAGUUUUAGUACUUUUUUCGAGCAAACUAAGGCAUUGGGUAAUUUGAACAGUGACCAAAGUUUGGGUGAACUCAAGAAAAAAAUGAGUGAACUAGCCAUACAAAUGACUGAGCUCAAAAGUUUAAUUUUCAAGAAAGAGUCAUUCGGCUUCAAACAAUCAUCACCUACUAUCUUGAGUCCAAACCCUUAGCUAAAUCCUUCUUAUGACUACUUUCAACCUCUUUUCUGAGCACUUAGGAUUAUGCCCCCAAAUUUCAUGCAACCUCCAAGAAUUUCACAUAUGAAUUCACAUUCACCAUCUUAUAUUUCAUAAUCAUUUGUUCAGUAUGCUAUCCCAUCACCACUUUCACAGUCUAAUCUUCGACCCAGAAUUUUUCAAUUCACUUCAAGACCAACUAUAACAUAAUCUUUUUCAACAAAACAAACCAACCAUAAGACAAAAAAACUUUAGCAACACCAAAGUAAAAACCUUUGUUGAUCCAAUACCCAUGUCCUACACAGAGUUAUACCCAUUACUCCUAAAAAAUUAUCUCAUUGCCUUUAUCUCUACUGAACCUCGUAAACCACCUUUCUUUGAAUGGUAUGACCAUAGUACUUGAUGUGAAUACCAUUUUGGCUUCGUGGGCCAUUCUCUGAAAAAUUAUGUAACUUUGAAACAUGGGGUGCAGGGACUGAUAAAAGCUGGAUACCUUAGUUUUGACGCCAAAACGAAGCCAGUUAUUCAUGAGAACCUUUCAUUGAUCCAUGCCAAGAUAGCAGAUAGUGUUGUAGGCAACAGUAAGAUUGGUCAAGAUGAUGAAUAAAAAGCUUUUAAAGCAAAGGGUUACCCUCUCUAGUAAUCAUAGUCAACUAUUUUUGAAUUUCUUAGGUGAAAUAAGGGGGAGUGAGAGUAGGUCUAGCACUUUUUCGCCUCAGUCCUAGAAUGGUUCAUGAUGUGUAAACUUGAUACUUUUGAGAAUGAAUGAAAACUUUUUUUAACCUAAAUUUUUUAUGAAUUGAUGUCUCUCCAAUUUUAACGAUUGUUUGUCUAAAAGAGCCUAUGAAAAAAAUGAUGGUUAUGAAUAUACUUUCACUAAACUUUUAAGGAAUAAAGAAUGUCUUUAGAUAAUCCAGCCAGAAUAAAAGAUGGAACUCAAGUUUUUCCUCUUUAAUAAUAAUAAAAUUUAACUUACACAUCAUGGAUCAUCUGUUUAAAUUCAUUGUUUUCAUGCUAGCUAAAGAUAAAAUGAUGAUUGUGAAUAUGCUUUUGUUAAACCUUCAAAGCCAAAAGAUUUUUUAUAAUAAAAUUCAUGUCAUGCAUUUUUUGUUUUUGAUAAUUAAUAAAAGGUUCAAGGAUAUCUAUCCUAGGAAACGAUAUCAGUUAAGUCUGUGCACUUAUAACACUCGAGCCUAUACCAGAAUCAUGGAAAAUGAAAAUGUAAUCGGAUGGACAAAGUAAAAAAAGCCCAAUGAGAUAUCAGUGAAAUAGUUAUGGGAAUGUAAUAGAACAUGAACAAACAGUUGGCAAAAUUAAAAUAGAUGUUAACAGAGUUGACAAAAGGAAAAGAGUUGUUGAAACAUACAAGAUAAAGAAAAAAAUAAUUGCUGAGGUAUCAUUGUAUCCAUUUGGGUUCACAUAUGUUCAAGACCCCUAUAUGCCAUAAGCACCUCCAAAAACUCAUCAACCUUUCACUAACAUUCCUACUGAGUUACCCUUAGUUCAAACAAAUGUCAACCCCGGGCAUACUCUUCACAACUUCAUUGCUGUGUCUAAUGUGGAUGAUCUUAAAAAAUUAAAAAAAUUAAAAAGGAUGCCAGAUCCAUCAAGAGAUAUGGUGAUAAAGGAUAAAUUUGAUCUAUUAAAAAAAAUUAAAGGUAAUUGAAGCCUAUGAUACAUACAAGAACAUUGAUACCAACGAGCUAAUGCUCUUUAACACAUAUCACCAUGUAUUAUCAAAAGAUGACAAGUCAUACUCAUGAUGAUAAGUUGUUAAUCCAUUACUUUCAAGAUAGUCUCACUAGGUCUACAGUAAGAUAGUACGCUCAGCUGAUCGAAGUAAGAUUUGCUCUUGGAAUGACUUAACUAGGGCCUUUCUAGCAUAAUACAAGCACAUCAAAAAUAUAACACCAGAUAGGUUGUUCUUACAGAACAUAAAAAAAAAAAGUCAACUAAAACUUUCAAAGAAUACACACUCAAAUGGAGAGACAUAGCAACCCAAGUAUAAUCACUCUUAUUAAAAAAAGAAAUCAUCGUUCUAUUUAUCAACUCUUUAAACACUCCCUAUUAUGAAAAAAUGAUUGAAAAUGUCUCCAAAAACUUUUUUGACAUGGUGACUUAUGGUGACAUUAUAGAAAGUGCAAUCAAGAAUGACAGAAUUAAGUUAAAAGAUACAAUAGAUGUUGAAGAGAGUAGUACAAUAGAAAAUAAUGAAAGAAAAGUGCAAGCAGUCACAAUUGAGGGACAUUUACCUAAUAACUUCAUCAUGUACAAUCUAUAUCCUUUUCAUCAACCUCAUCACUUUAUCACAGAUAAUAUCUCUCUCUCAUAACCCAUAUCCUUGCCAACCAAGUCAACAUUUGGGCUUUUCAAUAAAUUUUCAUCCUCAAACGACCAUUCAUGAUCUUGUUCCUACAUUUGAACCUGUCACUCAACCAAUAAAAAACUAAAAGAGACCAAGGAAUGAUCAAAAAAAUUUAUCCAUCCUUAUUUUUCACCUUUUGCCUUAACUAAUAAAAUGUCAGUAUCUCACUUCCGUGCCUCUGAAACAACACUAAAUCUAUUGCAAGGAGUUAUAAUCCCAAUGGCAAGUAUGAUUAUCAUAUGGGAUUAAUUGGCCAGUCAACUGAAAAUUACAAACAAUUGAAAAAAAAGAUUAAAGAUCUUAUCAAGAGUGAUAUUUUGACUUCAGAGGUGAUAGAAUAAUAAAAGUUGAUGACUCCAUCCAAUUACCAAAUGUGAGGAGUUGAGAUGAAGAAGAAAGUCUCAUUUCUAAAAAAUCAAGAUAGGAUGAUUUUCUUUUAAAUCUUUUCACUGUUUAUGUAUGACAUGUGCAUGGUGUAUUUAGGGGUUAUCCAACUUAUUUUAGAAGAAUCGAAUACUUUGGAUCUUUUUUAUGAAAUUUUCUCUUUAUGCAUUUGUUUGAAUAAAAGUCCCACAUAAGUAACUUUCAAAAACAAAAACAAAAAAAAAAGAAAAAAAGAGGAAAAAAAAUGGGUUUUCUUUUGUAAUAAAGAUGGAAGGAUUCUUGAAAGAAAUGGUGAUUACUAUUAGGAAAAAGUUUAUCAAAUACCUCAACACCUUUUCAAAUACUUUCAUGUCCCUAAUCAUUUAAAUGAUUGGACUCAUCAACCAUGACCCUUUAGGGAAUGUGAGUUUGAAUUCAUACUUUAAAGGGCUGAUAAUCUUUUUUCGGGCAAAAAAUAAAAAACGUUAAUUUUGAAAGUUUGUUUUGAAUUUCAAAAAUAAGAUACAUUUUCAAAUUUUUAAUUGAAACACAGUUCAUUAUGCUUGCUUUGAAUUGAUGUAUCAGUCAAUAUUAUAUGUUAAACUAUAUGAAAUUGUUUGUAAACCAAAAAGACUUCAGCAUUUGGAUUUCGAAUUUGAUACAUUUCAUCUAAAACUUUGUAACCCUAUUCUAUGUCAAGUAACUUUUCACCUAGCAAUCAAAGUUGCUCAAAAGUUGUAAUUACAACCCAAAUUUUGACCUCAAUACUUUAUUUAUCAAAGAAUCCCAAAUAAAAAAUUUAUUUUUCCUAAUUUGAAAAAGAAAAUUAAAUUUAAAUCAAUUAAGCCUAAACUAUGUGAAUGAUCAUAUGACAAAAGAAUACCAUAAAAAUGCUAGUUAAUUGCGAGACAUGUACAAAAGAAGCUUAAAAUUUAUUACAAAGAAAAGCAUUUAAAACUGCAUCGAAAGUUGAAAGUCAAGUGAUAAUAUUUAUAUUAUAGGUAUCUUUAUGAUAGAGUAAGUAAAAAUUAUUUUUGUUGUAAAGAUAACUGAACUUUCUCAAUUCAAAAUUACAAUGAAAUCAAAACCAAACUUUUUCAAUUGAAAAGGACAAUAAUUUUUUCAAUACUUUACUAUUCACUCAGAUAUCAACAAGGAAUGUAUAAACAAAUUAAUAUUUGUUACAAAAAAAAGUUUAACAAAAAUGCAUGAAAGGUUGAAAGUCAAUUAAUAGUAUUCAUAUUUUAUGUACCUUCAUGAUAUGCAUAUCAUAACUACUUAGAUGCAACUUCAAACACAAAAAUAAAUUAACUUCUUUGAUAACAAUGAAAACAUACACAUAAGGCUAAGUUUCAAAUGUCAAGCAAUCAUGGCAACAAUUUCAUAGCCAAAAUAAAUAUUAUAGCUUACACAAUUUUUUAUUUUCAAUUAAUUAACCACUAAAGGCAAAAUAAACUUAUCAUCAAAAAAUAUUUACCAUGAAAUCUUCAAAAUGAUUCAGAGAAAUCAAUAAUAACUCUAGCACUUUCACUAUCCAAAUAAAGUAAAGUACUAGAAUUACUCAAAUUAAUAUUAAAAGAUAAAAGCAAAGUUGAAUCACUAUCACCUAAUUGUCUAUUAAGAGGAACUAAACUACUUUCACCUACGUCUACUUUAUAGUUGCUAGAACCAAUAAAAUCAUCAUAACUAUGUGGCCGAUUAAUAAGUGAAGUGAACUGAACCCUAUAAAGGCAUUCUUGGAUUUUUGUAGCUCAUGAAUAUUCAUCACUUGUAUUGCGCUAUGUUUUCUAGCUUAAAAAAAAAACACAAAAUGCAUAAACAUCAACAUUUAGUAUGAACCUGAAGUGAGGGACUCAAGAUUAAAUAAAUUAUGGAAGAAAAGAAGAAAACAAACCAUUUUCAGCUUUUUUGUAACUUUCUUGAAGCCCUUUCAUUAUGUGAUCCCUUUCAAUUACAACAUUGAUAAUUGGUUAAUUAUGAAGCGCAUAAAAAAUAGCCUGAAAGAAUAUGAGACAUUUUAAAUAAGGAUUCAAUAGCAUAUAAAGACGUAAAUGCACAUUUGUAUCUUUUAGUGAAUGAUAACUUUACAAAUCAUGAGAUAAGUCCUAACUUUACUUCAUGUUUCUCAACAAAAAUAACUUUAUUGUCAGAUUGAAGCAUCAUCAAAUUGUCCUAAAAUUAUACCUCAAAAUAGGGAGGCAAAUAAGCAAAUAAGUUAUUACUAACUUAAAAUAACAUGAGAAAAUUGUAAAUGCUGAGUGGCAUAAAAAAAGUGUAUCCAUUUCAAACAUGAUCAAAGCAUAUAAGUUUCAAACAACAUAAAUUCUAUGCCUUUUAGAAUCAUAAGGACUAGAAGAAUAAAAAGUUAGGCAAAGAGAAGAGCAGUAAUUAACAUUCCACAAUAUUAUCAUAAGAAAAUGUGGUAGUUAUAUGUCAACUUCAUUGAAUGUAGUCAACAUUGUAAAAGUAUUUUAGAAGUUAUUUAAGCGUGUUGCAACACGUUUUCCAAGUAUAAUCAUAGAACCUGAAAUCACAGAAACUGUAAGAUGUUAAAGUAGUAGCAAUUUUUCCCUUUGAUAAUGUACAAUAAACAACAAAAACCAAAAGGUUAGUAAAUAUUCAAUGUUUGUCAUAAGAAAUAUUAUGAGUAGAAAAAUAAAAUUCCUAUAGUACUUACUCUUCUCUCUUUUUCUUUAGAAAGAAGUUAAGGUUCCUUAGUUGAAGGUUUGGAAAAAGACAAAAAAGGUGCAAGGAAUAAUUGUUAAAUAUUAAUUAAUAGAAGAGACAAAUAGAUCAAUAUUUUGAUAGUCAACCAUAAUCUAUUGAUAAACUAAUUAAUUAGUAAAAGCAAUCAUUUAAGAGCAUAAGAAAAAUGAAUAAUUUUAGUAACUUUACAUUCAUUCUAUCAACAAUGACCCUUGAAUGACCUACAUCGCACGCAACACUUUAUAAAGAUAUACAAAAAAAAUUUGGCUUUCAAAUACUGUGAUUUGGUCUUUAACCAUUUAUAAUUCUUUCAUAAACUUAUGUCACUGAUCCUUUAUCUUUUGUACUUCUUGCUUUUCUUUUUUAAAAAAUUCUUCCAUUUCUUUAAUUCUUUCUUUAACUUAUUUAAAUUAGCUUUAUAUUCCCUUAAUUUAGUAAGAAGUGUUACCUUUACCUUUGUCAGUGUAAAACCAAUGAGAGAUGAAAGUAUCCCUCAGAUUUUUACAAAUGUAGACAAUCUUAGAGCUAGAAUCUUUAAUGGAAGGUGGUAAAGAAGCAUAGGGGAUGUGGGUGAAGAAAAUUCUUGGUUGGUAUGGAUAGUUUUUUUCGAGAUCUGGAUAAGGGUUAUUGAUGUAAAGAUCAAACUCAAAGAAAGGAACAAGUUGGUGAGGGCAUACAUUGAGUAAAGGAGUUUCUUCCAUUGCAAAUUGAUUGUGAUUCACAACUGAAAAGUUAAAGCCUUAAGCCAAGUAGUGCCACAUUUUGGUGAACUUGUGACAAUAAUAUCACUAUCAAGUGCUUGGAAAUGUUUUUGGAAAGAAAUCAUAGCUUUUAAAACAAUAGAUGGACACCAAAAUCCUUGAUAGAAAUAAAUAUGAGAUCCCCACCAGUUGUUUUCUUUAGCGAGGGUUUGCACUAUUUCUUGGAAUUCAUCCUCCCAUGGCACCUUACCUUCAUCAUCUUGUGGUUUAGAAACAAUACUAACGUCUUUAGGGAUUUCUGUGGUAUCCAUGAUGAAACUUGCAGCAAUUGAGAGGAGGAGUAGAAAUGAAUAUGAAAACUCUACAUUAGUUCUUUUUUGCUAUAAUUAUUUAUA